UGAGACAUAAAAAAAAAACAUACAGUACAAUGUGUAUUAUAAUUAUUAUUAUAAUGUAAGUAAUUAAUGAAAAUAUUACAUGCAUAAAACGCUGUACAUGGUGUGUGUUAUAACAAUUGUUAUGGUCAACAGUGUCUGGUUUGGUUACAAAUCAGUAACUACAAUGCUGAUGUUGUAUUAUAACAAUUAAAAUUUUUGUUCAAUGAAACAAUGUCAAUCAUUACUUGUUAUGUCUCUUAAGGACAUUGACAAACAAUAUAAAUACAAAUUAAAUGUGUAAAUACGACAAAUAUUCACUUUGAAAAAGUGCGAGAUACGAACGUAAUGAGAAUGUUGUUGACCACAUCGACCGACGAUCCCGGAAAAGAACUUGAAGUAAAAAACACAUCAGUGGCGCAACCAGGAUUUAUUCAAGGGGGGGGGGAGUUCCUGGAAAAUUUUUUAUUUAUUAUAUAUUGGUUUUCUGUUCUCUUCCUGAGUAUAUACUUUAUACAUUAUUAAUACAUUUCAUUGCUUUAUAUUAUAUACAAUUAUAUUAUUAUACCUAUUCUAAUAAUAAUUAUAAUCAAUACAUUUUGAUGAAAACUUUUGGGUAACUUUAAAAAUAUAAAAUAAAAAUAAAUACUAUGGCAUGAUUCAAGGGGGGGUCCAGACCCGGGGUCCACCCCCCUGGUUGCGUCCUGGAACACAUUAAGUUGUAAGUAUAAAAAAAGCGGCAUCCUCGAAACCACAUACGUACUUUGUGGUAAUACGGCCCGGUAGUAAUUCGCGUUGUAUUCUGAAUUGGACGACUAUAAAUUAUAAUGCAUAUCCCUGUAAUACUCGGGGCGGAUGCGCUAAUUAAUUAGCUUAUAUGAAUGAUACAAAUUGUACUUACCGGUCUAUAAAACGUCCAACGAAGUUAAAAAAAAAUAUAUAUAUAUAAUAUGUACUAAAAAAAGUACAGAAAAAAGUGCAAAUUUUUGUUUACGUAAAGACAAUCGUGUUGCACGAACGUCAAAGAAAAAUUGCCUGAUGCAGGCGCACCGGACCCAGGUCCUCAACGCUUUUCGCUCUCUACUCCGCCACAACAUGGCACCAGUAUUAACAAAUAUUAAAUACCGCACAUAAUAUAAUUUAAUUAAUAUUACAAAGGAUAUUAUUAAAUAUUAAUUGUCAAUCUUCACUAAUGGGUAGACCGAUGGAUCAGACUUGCGGUUAUUUAAAGUACUAAUUCCAACCAUAAAUGCGUAAUAUGCAAUGGAACAACGAACGUCUUACGGACGCCAUUCAAUUUGAAUUGUUCAUUCGAAGUGAGUACACGUAUUAGUUAUUUUAACCUUUUCGCGUGUAUUUUUUGUUUGUUUUUAGGUUAACUGUAAUAUGUCAUUUUACUUUUUACUUAAUUAAUAAUUUAAUAUUAAAUGUUAUAGAUUAUGUUCAGUUUCAGAAACUGUACGGUGAUGGUCAACACCGACCAAAAAUGCCAAAAAAGUAUGAAUAUCAAAAAUAAUGAAUAUUUACAAUGUUACCUAUACACUUUUAUUUUUCUGGAUUCUAUAACUGUAGCACAAAGGGCCAUCUGGCCCGUGAUUGCAGAAGUAAGAAGAAUCGGCGGCGGCCGAUACCGGGCCGUAGGGCACCACCGCGAUCACGAUCGCCCUACCGGUGGUCCGGGGCAUCGUCUCACCAGCAUCCGGUCCGUACCGAGGAGUCAGAGCUCGGUUGUGGCGGACCGUGUGGUCGCUAUGAUGGUCAUGGACGUAAGUAGUAUUUAUUUAUUAUUAUUAAUUUUUUUUUUUUUGUAUAGGUUUUUUACUGUGAGGUUGUGGGAACGGUAGGGGAAAACACGUGUGUGUAUUGUGGCAGAAUUUCUAGUGGGGCACCCGUAGGUUUCUGCCAUGCCCCGGGGUGGGGGAUGGCGGCACUUAUUCUCCGGAUACCGUGACUUGCCCGAAGAAAAAUACCACUCGGUGACCGCGAAUCGAACCAGCAACCCGGCUGCGCCGCAACCGACGCCUUAGGCCGCACGGCCACCUCGUCCCCCAAUAUUAUUAAUUAAUAUUAAUUGUUAAAAAUAUGAUUUAAGUACAGGACAGAGAAGGAUGACCAAGCGGUAAGCAAUAAGUUUUUUUUUGUUAGCAUUUUUAUUAUUAUUUUUCUAAAUUUUAAAUUUGUAAUGUUUAUUUUUACAGAAUAAAUAAAAUAUAAUCAAUA